ACCUCGUGGAGAGCAAUAAGGAAAAGCUGGUCCGUGCCCAGAGAGAGGAGCAGGAGCGGCAGAUGGAGAAGGCGGCAGAGCAAGCCGGUCAACAGGCUGCAGUCCCUGACCUUGGAUGGAACUCGCACCAGGGAAUCGACCAGCAGAUUG
rnacentral:ribozyme from 1 species